rnacentral:misc_RNA from 1 species
AUCCCCCCUCAAACCUCGGGUUUGGUGUUGGACCGACGUUGGUCGUUACCCCGACCAACUGGUCUCAAAGACAAUGACGGCGUCCGUGGGACCCUCGAUACACCGAGCUUUCUUUUCGAAGCACGUACCGAGUUGCAAGGACCCACGCCCGCCGGUCGCUCUCCCCUUCUCGGAGAAAACGCAAGUUUUUUUCACAAGG